rnacentral:rRNA from 1 species
ACUGCUCAGUAACACGUGGAUAACCUGCCCUUGGGUCCGGCAUAACCCCGGGAAACUGGGGAUAAUUCCGGAUAACGCACAUAUGCUGGAAUGCUUUUUGCGUAAAAUGGAUUCGUCUGCCCAAGGAUGGGUCUGCGGCCUAUCAGGUAGUAGUGGGUGUAAUGUACCUACUAGCCUACGACGGGUACGGGUUGUGAGAGCAAGAGCCCGGAGAUGGAUUCUGAGACAUGAAUCCAGGCCCUACGGGGCGCAGCAGGCGCGAAAACUUUACAAUGCGGGAAACCGUGAUAAGGGGACACCGAGUGCCAGCGUCAUACGCUGGCUGUCCAGGUGUGUAAAAUACACCUGUUAGCAAGGGCCGGGCAAGACCGGUGCCAGCCGCCGCGGUAACACCGGCGGCCCGAGUGGUGAUCGUGAUUAUUGGGUCUAAAGGGUCCGUAGCCGGUUUGGUCAGUCCUCCGGGAAAUCUGACAGCUCAACUGUUAGGCUUUCGGAGGAUACUGCCAGACUUGGAACCGGGAGAGGUAAGAGGUACUACAGGGGUAGGAGUGAAAUCUUGUAAUCCCUGUGGGACCACCUGUGGCGAAGGCGUCUUACCAGAACGGGUUCGACGGUGAGGGACGAAAGCUGGGGGCACGAACCGGAUUAGAUACCCGGGUAGUCCCAGCCGUAAACGAUGCUCGCUAGGUGUCAGGCAUGGCGCGACCGUGUCUGGUGCCGCAGGGAAGCCGUGAAGCGAGCCACCUGGGAAGUACGGCCGCAAGGCUGAAACUUAAAGGAAUUGGCGGGGGAGCAC